AGAUCUCCCCGCCCCGCAUCUCGCCCGCCUGCCACCGGCGAGGGGGCGCGCGCAGGCCGCCGCCGCGAUGUACCUGGCGUACGGGUGGCCGCAGUCGAUCCCGCUGGACCCGGACGACUCGGACCGCGUGGUCCUCCUCCGCGUCCUCGGCCGCCUCCUCCUCGCCGUCUGCCCCGCCUCGCUCCACCUCUGGUCCGCCGCCCAGCACCGGGUCCGCCUCGCCCGCUUCGACCGCUUCCCGGACUCCCUCGCCGCUCACGGCCAGAACGCGCACGCCGUGUGGAGCCCCGACGCCAAGACCGUCGCCGUCCUGACCUCCUCCUUCUACCUCCACAUAUAUAGGGUUCAUCUCUCCGGGAAGCCACUGAUCGUCGGUGGCAAGCAGCUCCCGGGGCUUUGCCUGGCUAGUAUAUCCCUAAUCAUCACCGAGAAGGUUCCUCUCGCCAAUGGUGUUGCUAUAACGAGCAAUUUCGUAUGUGACAGCAAGAGCAUGCUCCUCGGACUAUCUAAUGGGCAUGUGCAGGUCGUGUCCUGGAAUGCUGAGUUCUCAGACAGCUUCAAGCUUGGUUGCUCUGUGUGUUCGUCUGAGAAACCUACUGCUGUCAUAGAUGCGUUGGUGUUUGAUCCACCCAGUUUCCGAGAAAACUCUAAUGCAAGGCCUGCUCCUUGCUGCACAGGCAAUUCUUCUAUCGUCCAUGUUGAGUUGUCAGUGAAGCUAAGGUUGCUGGUUGCUUUGUACUCAGGCUGUCACAUUGCCCUCUUUACUGUUGGUAAGAAGGGAUUGAAGCAGCCUGGGAGCAUUAGAGUGGAGAGAUGGUUGAACACUGAUGAUGCGAUGUGUACUUCUGUGGCUUCUGAGCAACAGAUUCUUGCUGUCGGGUGCAGUAGAGGUGUUGUUGAAUUGUAUGAUCUAGCUGAGAACAUGCGUCAUAUACGAACGAUUUCGUUGUAUGAUUGGGGGUAUUCAGUGGAAGAUACUGGUCCUGUUGCCUGUAUAUCUUGGACGCCUGACAAUUGUGCUUUUGCAGUUGGGUGGAAAUUUAGGGGACUUACUGUAUGGUCUGUGUCUGGAUGUCGAUUGAUGUGUACUAUCCGUCAAACUGGAUCAAAUUCCGCCUCUUCUCCAAUGGUGAAACCUAACGCUCUAAAAUUUGAGCCUCUAAUGGGAGGGACAUCACACAUUCAAUGGGAUGAUAAUGGAUAUAAGUUAUUUGCUGUUGAAGAAAGCUUGUCAGAAAGGGUUCUUGCUUUCUCAUUUGCCAAAUGUUGCCUAAACAGAGGACUUUCAGGUACAACGUAUUCCCACCAGGUUCUUUAUGGAGAUGAUCGAAUCCUUUUAGUGCAACCGGAUGAUGCUGAUGAACUGAAGCUAUUGCAUCUUAAUGUUCCGGUUUCCUACAUUUCCCAGAACUGGCCAGUUCUACAUGUAGUAGCAAGCAAUGAUGGUAUGUACUUGGCAGUUGCUGGUUCUCAUGGGCUAGUGCUGUAUGAUCUGCGAAAUAAAAGGUGGCGUUUUUUUGGUGAUGUUACACAAGAGCAAAAGAUCCAAUGCAAAGGCCUGUUGUGGCUUGGAAAAAUUGUUAUUGUAUGCAACUAUGUUGAAUCAUCAAACACGUACGAGCUUCUCUUUUUUCCAAAAUAUCAUCUUGAUUAUAGCUCCUUACUCUACCGGAAACCACUGCUUGGAAGGCCAAUUGUCAUGGAUGUUUUCCAGGAUUACGUAUUAGUUACCUACAGUCCAUUUGAUGUGCAUAUAUUCCAUGUGGUGAUAUUGGGAGAAUUGUCACCUGCUAGCAAUCCGGUUUUACAGCUUUCAACAGUGCGAGAACUUUCAAUCAUGAGUCCAAAGAGCCCACCUGUUUCAAUGCGCUUCAUUCCCGAACAACCUGACAAAGGAGUGCUGAAACAGGAAACUAAUGGAUCUUCUGGUCUUUCAUCCGAGCAACCAUCAAGAUGUUUGAUCUUGCGGACCAAUGGUGAACUUUCUGUGCUGGACAUGGAUGAUGGACACGAACACGCACUCACAAAUUCAGUUGAACUCUUCUGGGUCACUUGUUCGCAAUUUGAAGAGAAGGGUAGUCUUAUUAAAGAGGUUUCAUGGCUUGACUAUGGUCAUCGGGGCAUGCAGGUAUGGUACCCAUCGCAUGGAGCGGAUCCUUUUAAGCAAGAAGAUUUCUUGCAGUUGGAUCCUGAGCUUGAGUUUGAUCGUGAGGUGUAUCCUCUUGGUCUUCUUCCAAAUGUUGGUGUGGUCGUUGGUGUUUCUCAGAGAAUGUCCUUCUCAACUGCUGAGUUUCCAUGCUUUGAGCCUUCACCUCAAGCCCAAACAAUAUUGCAUUGCUUAUUACGACAUCUACUUCAGAGGGACAAGAUUGAAGAAGCUUUGCGCUUGGCGAAUUUGUCAGUAGAAAAACCUCACUUUUCACACUGUUUAGAGUGGCUUCUGUUUACGGUAUUUGAUGCAGAUAUAUCAAGGCCAAGUGCUUCAAAAAACCAGGUUCCUCAAAAAGUUGAUUACCCGAAGAAGUCUCUUCUCGAGAAGACAUGUGACCUACUGCGGAAUUUUCCUGAAUAUAUGGAUGUCGUAGUCAGUGUGGCUAGGAAAACAGAUGGUCGACACUGGGCUGAUCUUUUCUCUGCAGCUGGACGAUCCACAGAUGUUUGUUUGCAAAGAUUUCAAAUCAAAUACUUAUGCUCUUGGUACAACCAAUCUUUUGUGAUAGGAUGUUUGAGGAAUGCUUCCAACGGAGAUGGUACAGGACUGCUGCUUGCUACAUACUGGUCAUUGCUAAGUUUGAGGGCCCUGCAGUCAGUCAGUACUGUGCACUUCGUUUGCUUCAAGCUACACUUGAUGAAUCUUUGUAUGAGCUUGCUGGGGAGUUGGUUCGCUUCCUUCUAAGAUCUGGAAGAGAUUUUGAGAAUGCCACCUCAGACUCCGAGAAGCUCUCUCCAAGAUUUCUUGGCUAUUUUCUAUUCCGUUCACCAUAUAAGCGGCAAUCUUCUGAUUUGAAAAGCAACUCAAUGAAAGAACUUAGUCCACAUAUUGCCUCUGUUAUGAACAUUCUAGAGAGCCAUGCUAGCUAUUUGAUGUCUGGCAAGGAGCUUUCUAAACUUGUUGCUUUUGUCAAAGGGACACAAUUUGAUCUUGUGGAGUAUCUUCAACGAGAAAGACUAGGGUCUGCUCGGCUGGAGAAUUUUGCAUCUGCACUUGAACUGAUUGGGCAAAAGCUCCAAAUGAACACACUCCAAAGCCGGCUUGAUGCUGAGUUCCUUCUAGCUCAUAUGUGUUCAGUCAAAUUUAAGGAAUGGAUCGUGGUGCUAGCUACUUUAUUGCGACGUGCGGAGGUUUUGGUGGAUCUCUUUCGGCACGAUUUGCGAUUGUGGAAAGCAUAUAGCAUUACUCUACAGUCACAUGAUGUAUUCAGAGAAUAUCUCGAUCUUCUUAAUAUGUUGGAGGAGCAGCUUUGUUCUGUUUCUGAUCUUACAUUGCAAAAUGGACCAUUGUCUUGAAUGCUGAACGAGACUGGUUGAAAAAUCCAUCGAAUGUGACAUUUAGCCUUGUGCUAAUUUAACACAUACAGUUAGAUGAGAACAGCGCGGGAAAUCUGUUGUAAAUAGAAAUUAUUGAGGGAUUUUCCCUUUGAACAACACCCUAGAGGCUAUCGCAGUUUUUUGUGCAGUGAUCUGCUGAGCACCAUAUUGUUGUAUCAUUAGUUUGUUGAAGCGGAGUUGAGUGUGCAUUCUUCGCCUUUCUGUAAGUACGAGCUGCGCUCCUAACACUGUAAAGCAUAUACCAAUUAUGAGGGAUGAGUUGUUCUUUCUGUAACGUAGAAUCUUGUUUAAAGCUUAUUACAUGUAGAUAGCCCUUGCUUGAUGUCUGUAAACUUGAGAUAUUAUUAAAACAGGCAAUACCAGGAUCAUUUAGUUCCAUUUUGACA